rnacentral:rRNA from 1 species
AAAUUGAAGAGUUUGAUCAUGGCUCAGAUUGAACGCUGGCGGCAGGCCUAACACAUGCAAGUCGAACGGUAACAGGAAGCAGCUUGCUGCUUUGCUGACGAGUGGCGGACGGGUGAGUAAUGUCUGGGAAACUGCCUGAUGGAGGGGGAUAACUACUGGAAACGGUGGCUAAUACCGCAUAACGUCGCAAGACCAAAGAGGGGGACCUUCGGGCCUCUUGCCAUCAGAUGUGCCCAGAUGGGAUUAGCUUGUUGGUGAGGUAACGGCUAACCAAGGCGACGAUCCCUAGCUGGUCUGAGAGGAUGACCAGCCACACUGGAACUGAG